ACCCCAAACCUUAAUAGGAGGUCAACAGUGGGCAGAAGGAGUCCUGGAGGGAGGUCAAAGGUCUGACCCGGACUGUCCCGGGUUUUAAAGGACCACCGCGUUGAGAUCCUGAGGCUGCUUCACACUUAGAAAAGAGUAUGUGGCGGCGGCGGCGGCCAGGGGAUCCUCGUCACUGUUAGUUCAUGGCCAGGUCUUUCCUCAAGAGCUCAUUAUCAAUCUGUAUCUCAGAGAUUCACCCGCUGACACAGUGACCGACAGACAGCUGCUCCAGAGGAAAGCCAGCAGGCGAGAGGAGCCGUCCCCAGUAAUGGGGCACUUCCUAAAAUCCUUCGUUUACAAAGCGGAGACUUCUCCUCAUUCUGGAACUGGGAUCCAGUGUAAAGUGCGCUUCAUGCUCCUUUCACUGCCAAACACCAGAAAUAAAUUGGCUCUGCCUUUUCAGCCCGCUCUGUGUAAUGACUCAGCAUUGCUAACGUUUCUUCUUCUUCGCACACAGCUGCUAACCUCAUAAAAUAAAAAAAGUAAAUUUUCUGCUGCCAAGGACCACACAUAUGAAAAAAACCCGGGGACGUUUUUAGUGGUCGCUUCCUGUCGCUCUUUGAGUCGCAUGAAUAGAUCUGAAUGAGGCCACAAGGAGAAAUGAUUGCACCUUUUCUAAUUAUUAGAAAAACUGUUGAAUCGGAUAGAAACUAACAGCUGCUGGCAGCACCAUGUCAAAUCAGGCUGCUAUCAGGUUCAAGGUGGAGCGAGCGGCCCUCACUCUCUCUUUCUCUCUCUCUCUCUCUCUCUCCCCCCCCUCGACGUCUUUUUACACGAGGAGCCCGUGAAGUCAUCGCAGCUGCCGCGGCUCUCCCAUAGAGGCCGAGUGAAAGGUCGUCCCUCCAGCUGAGGGCCGUAAAUUCAAGACGUAAAAUGGGAGAGACGUACACGCCGCUCAACAGGUGCAGGGCCAGAAUGAAUGGGCAGCCCUCUUUCUCUCCGGUGAAGGAGCGAGAACAAAGAGGAUCGAGACAGGAGCAUUCAAACUGGAGAACUUAUGAUGCUAAAGUGGCCUCGGUCAAAACACAGAUCGUCCUUCAUGAAGCCUCCGCAAAUUAAAGGACGGCGACACAAACUUGGCUCGUGUGACUCGAUGCGAAGCCGUUAGCUCCGUGAAUGGACGACUGUAAACAAUUAGAGAACUGAUAUUCUCCUCCACACGCCGCGACCACACGGUCCCGAGUGAGAUUUAAAGCCGUCAUGUCCAUUUGCAGAGUCCCGCUCUUGUCAGCUCCCUAUUAAUAAAAGAUGUCACAAGAGCUGCGUCUAAUGAGAGUGAAAUUGUGUCCAGGGUGGCGUAUUCCAGCGCAGACUCCAGGACGUGAAUAAUGCAUGAAUGCUUGUUUUUCUUGUUCGGGAUUUUGUAACAUUGAUCUUUUUUGAUGAUCCACAUUUAAUUUCCACACUACUCGACAGCUCCGACAUUAUUCAAAAUGAGCUCUCGCACGCUCUGAGAUGUUAGUUUGUUCUGUCCUUUAAGUUCAAAGGGACGAUUUCCAAUUCUCUGUGAAAAAUCCUCAGUAUUAAUUGAAGCUGACGCCUAAUUUAUCCUUCAGUCGUCAAACAGGACAAAGAGACUUGAGGAGUGGCUGUGAAAUCUGGUUUUGUCCUUAACGAAGGACGGCGACGGAUCAGCUCGGAUUCAGUCUUAUAAUAAUAAUACAAAAUUGAUAAAAGUAAUAAUUUAGCAUUAAUUUCACAAGAUGAAAAUGAUUCAAAACAGAAACAACUUAAACAGUCAACAUUUGCUACUUACCUCUUUCUCCCAUUUGUAUAAAAUUGGAUUUAUUUCUUUCAUAUGACCCAAAAAUCCCAAAUUUAUUAUCGAAUUAUUCCCAUAGAAGAAAUAACUCAGAUCUGAGAAGCUGCAGUUGUUAUUUUAUUACCUUGAUGAUGAAGCACUUGUAAAAUAUUAGCCGAAUAUUUUUUUCAAAUGUUAUUCUGCAAUAAACUGACUAAACUUUC